rnacentral:rRNA from 1 species
CCCUUAGAUGUUCGGGGCCGCACGCGCGCUACACUGACGGAGGCAGCGAGCAUGUCCUUCGCCGAGAGGUGUGGGGAAUCUUGUGAGUCUCCGUCGUGCUGGGGAUAGAUGGUUGCAAUUGUCGAUCUUGAACGAGGAAUUCCUAGUAAGCGCGAGUCAUCAGCUCGCGCUGAUUACGUCCCUGCCCUUUGUACACACCGCCCGUCGCUACUACCGAUUGGAUGGUUUAGCGAGAGCCUUGGAUUGGAGCCCAGGUGGUCGGCAACGGCCGCUCGGGAUGCCGAGAAAUUGCUCCAGCUGACUCAUCUAGAGGAAGUAAAAGUCGUAACA